GACGGAGGAUGCAAGUGUUAUCCGGAAUCACUGGGCGUAAAGCGUCUGUAGGUGGUUUCGUAAGUCAACUGUUAAAUCUUGGGGCUUAACCUCAAAACUGCAGUCGAAACUACUAGACUAGAGUAUAGUAGGGGUAAAGGGAAUUUCCAGUGGAGCGGUGAAAUGCGUAGAGAUUGGAAAGAACACCGAUGGCGAAGGCACUUUACUGGGCUAUUACUAACACUCAGAGACGAAAGCUAGGGUAGCAAAUGGG
rnacentral:rRNA from 1 species